UUAAGUCGACCGCCUGGGGAGUACGGCCGCAAGGUUAAAACUCAAAUGAAUUGACGGGGGCCCGCACAAGCGGUGGAGCAUGUGGUUUAAUUCGAUGCAACGCGAAGAACCUUACCUGGUCUUGACAUCCACGGAAGUUUUCAGAGAUGAGAAUGUGCCUUCGGGAACCGUGAGACAGGUGCUGCAUGGCUGUCGUCAGCUCGUGUUGUGAAAUGUUGGGUUAAGUCCCGCAACGAGCGCAACCCUUAUCCUUUGUUGCCAGCGGUCCGGCCGGGAACUCAAAGGAGACUGCCAGUGAUAAACUGGAGGAAGGUGGGGAUGACGUCAAGUCAUCAUGGCCCUUACGACCAGGGCUACACACGUGCUACAAUGGCGCAUACAAAGAGAAGCGACCUCGCGAGAGCAAGCGGACCUCAUAAAGUGCGUCGUAGUCCGGAUUGGAGUCUGCAACUCGACUCCAUGAAGUCGGAAUCGCUAGUAAUCGUGGAUCAGAAUGCCACGGUGAAUACGUUCCCGGGCCUUGUACACACCGCCCGUCACACCAUGGGAGUGGG
rnacentral:rRNA from 1 species